AUUCCCCUAGUAACGGCGAGUGAAGCGGGAACAGCUCAAAUUUGAAAUCUGGCCCUUGGGUCCGAGUUGUAAUUUGCAGAGGAUGCUUUUGGUGCGGUGCCUUCCGAGUUCCCUGGAACGGGACGCCUUAGAGGGUGAGAGCCCCGUACGGUUGGACACCAAGCCUAUGUAAAGCUCCUUCGACGAGUCGAGUAGUUUGGGAAUGCUGCUCAAAAUGGGAGGUAUAUUUCUUCUAAAGCUAAAUAUUGGCCAGAGACCGAUAGCGCACAAGUAGAGUGAUCGAAAGAUGAAAAGCACUUUGAAAAGAGGGUUAAAUAGCACGUGAAAUUGUUGAAAGGGAAGGAUUUAUGACCAGACUUUUUCUAGGGGGAUCAUCCGGUGUUCUCACCGGUGCACUUCCCCUAGUUGAGGCCAGCAUCGGUUUCUGUCGAGGGAUAAAAGCUUUAGGAAUGUGGCUCCCUCCGGGGAGUGUUAUAGCCUGUUGCAUAAUACCUUGACGGGGACCGAGGUUCGCGCAUUGCAAGGAUGCUGGCGUAAUGGUUAUUAAUCACCCGUCUUGAAACACGGACCAAGGAGUCGAACAUUUGUGCGAGUGUUUGGGUGUUAAACCCUCACGCGUAAUGAAAGUGAACGGAGGUGAGAGCCCUUCGGGGUGCAUCAUCGACCGAUCCUGAUGUCUUCGGAUGGAUUUGAGUAAGAGCAUUAAUGUUCGGACCCGAAAGAUGGUGAACUAUGCGUGGAUAGGGUGAAGCCAGAGGAAACUCUGGUGGAGGCUCGCAGCGGUUCUGACGUGCAAAUCGAUCGUCAAAUCUGCGCAUGGGGGCGAAAGACUAAUCGAACCAUCUAGUAGCUGGUUACCGCCGAAGUUUCCCUCAGGAUAGCAGUGUUGUGUUCAGUUUUAUGAGGUAAAGCGAAUGAUUAGGGACUCGGGGGCUAUUUAUUGCCUUCAUCCAUUCUCAAACUUUAAAUAUGUAAGAAGCCCU
rnacentral:rRNA from 2 species